rnacentral:lncRNA from 1 species
GGGUUGGUGGCUUGUUUUGUUUGUCAGAUAUUUUCGUGGUGUGGAUGGCUGUUGCAUGGGGCGGUCAUUUAUGAGUCUUUUUUCUUCACAUUGGUAUAAAUUUCCAUGGUCCCGUGGCACCCCCCUUAGCUGAAAUCGUAGUAAGAGAAGCGGAGGCUAAAGUCCUUUAUAAACUCUACAAUGGCAUGAGAUUCUAUUUAUGUUAUGUCAAUGAUAUAUUAACAGUAUGGGACAAAGGGCAGGAUCCAAAAGUCUUAAUGGAAAGUUUAACAAUAAAAGUGUAUGGUAUAGUAUUGAAAGAGCAACAGGUUAGCCAUUCAUCUGCACAGGUUUUAGACAUUAAGAUAGAAAUAAGAGAUAAGAAAGUAGAUACCUCAUCCAUCAUUGCUUUCAACUGCUUCAAUCACUUUGUUAUGUACACUAAUUCCAAAUAAAGCAUUAUCUGCAGUAUACAUAUAAUAAUCACUUUAAUCUAAGAGAAUAUACAAACGUUUUCAGCAGUACAUACCGCCAUCAUCAGGU